rnacentral:tRNA from 2 species
CGCACCGAUAGCUCAAUUGGAUAGAGUACCUGGCUUCGGACCAGGUGGUUAGAGGUUCGAGCCCUCUUCGGUGCGU